UAGCGGAGGGAGCUAGCGUUGUUCGGAAUUACUGGGGCGUAAAGCGCACGUAGGCGGCUUUGUAAAGUUAGAGGUGAAAGCCCGGAGCUCAACUCCGGAACUGCCUUUAAGACUGCAUCGCUUGAAUCCAGGAGAGGUGAGUGGAAUUCCGAGUGUAGAGGUGAAAUUCGUAGAUAUUCGGAGGAACACCAGUGGCGAAGGCGGCUCACUGGCUCGACACUGACGCUGAGGUGCGAAAGCGUGGGGAGCAAACAGG
rnacentral:rRNA from 1 species